rnacentral:rRNA from 1 species
UACGGAGGGUCCAAGCGUUGUUCGGAAUCAUUGGGCGUAAAGCGGGUGUAGGUGGCUUUGUAAGUCAGGAGUGAAAUCCCCGAGCUUAACUUGGGAAGUGCUUUUGAAACUGCAAAGCUUGAGUGUGGGAGAGGAUCGUGGAAUUCCAGGUGUAGUGGUGAAAUACGUAGAUAUCUGGAGGAACACCGGUGGCGAAGGCGGCGAUCUGGCCCAACACUGACACUGAGACCCGAAAGCGUGGGGAGCGAACAGG